GACGAACCGUGCGAACGUUGUUCGGAUUCACUGGGCUUAAAGGGCGCGUAGGCGGGCUGCCAAGUCCGGGGUGAAAUCUUUCGGCCUAACCGGAAAAGUGCCUUGGAUACUGGCGGCCUGGAGGGAGGUAGGGGCACGCGGAACUUCCGGUGGAGCGGUGAAAUGCGUAGAUAUCGGAAGGAACGCCGGUGGCGAAGGCGGCCUUCUGGCUCGAUACUGACGCUGUAGCGCGAAAGCGUGGGGAGCGAACGGG
rnacentral:rRNA from 1 species